GUCACUGUCCUGGCCCUUACUUUCAUAUAUUGAUUUAGUAUCCUGAAACUUUACUAAAGUCAUUUAUCACAAGAUCAGAAAGGAAAUCUUAAUGGCCACCUGCAGUGAACACCUUUUGAGCUUUAUUUUUUGCCUGGGUUCAUUGUGUCAUAAGAUACCUCUUUGUCCUUUAAGUGUUCAUCUUCCUUGGCCCCCAUGAUGUUACUGUCUGUGGGACCUUGUCCAACUCCUUGUACUUCUAUCUUAGCCUUCUGGUUAAAUUUAUCUUUUUCUGUAUAUUUGUAUGCCCAUCUUUAGCACUGUUCUUUGUCUGCUUUGCCUGUUACAUACUGUCACAGCCACCUAGCACUUAUACCCCAGUUACUACCAAAACAGUUCUUCUAGCCUCAAGUUUUCUUCUAAGUAAUAUAUCUAAUGUCCACCACUUGGUGGAGAGCUCCUCCUGGUUCACCCUGAAUGUCUGGUCUCGAAUAUUAUUUUUCUCUUCCAGAUCUACUCCUUCAUGCCUAAUAUCAUCAAGAUUUUUCACAACUACUGAAAUUGUUUACCUUCCAGCCACAUUCAAUAACCAGAUUCUUUAAUGCCACCUCCUACAAUUUGCUUGCCACUGAUAAGAUUUAAAUUCCUUUCCAGCUCUAUUUCUAGUCAUGACCUCUGAAAAGAUACUCCUUCUGGGUCUGUUUUUCUCAUGUCUAAAAAUAUUUGUGCUAGAUCAAGGGAUAGCACAGGAGGGCCCAGGAGCCAAACACAGUCUGCUACCCAUUUUUGUAAAUAAACUUUUGUUUGUAAUUGUUUUUAUGCUGCAAAUUUGAGUAGUGACAGAGACUUCGUGUCCCACAAGCCUUAAAUAUUUACCGUCUGGCCCUUUCCAGAAAAAGUUUGCUGACCCCUAACCAGAAAAUCUCCCAUCUAGUUUCCAUUUUUUUUAAAUAUGUUUUUUUGUGACCACUCAUGAUCAAGUCUAGGGAUAAUAGGCAUUUUAAAAUUGCCCCCUAAUGUUUCAUUUUAAUUGAUUUAUCAUUAGAAGUCACCAACAGAAAUAAUUGCUUUUUUUUUAAUAUUACAAGAACCUUAUCAUAAUAAAAUAUUCUUCAGUGUUUCAAAUUUGAAAGCUUUUUGAAUUUUUAGUAUUUUUUUAAUAUGUUGUGUAAAUCCCACUGUUAGCCACCCUAACGAGACCUUGGUCUUAAGGUUUAAAAAACAAUAAGAAAAAGAGUAGAAAAAUUGAUAGUAGUUGAAUGUUUAACAAAAUAAAUUAAACAUGGGACAUCUUGUAAUGUUAGGAUCUCUGUUUCCCCCUCUAAUAGCCUUUGUGAUUCAAAGUCAUGUAGUGGUAAAUGGAUGAAUAGGAUUUUCAUUGCCAUUUUGUGCUGACAGGCUUUUUUUAGUUAAUUACUUUUUAAAAUAAUUUAUAGUGAAUACAUCGACAAUUCAAUUUAUACUUUGAUAGUUAAAGCCUCUUAAAAGGCACUGAUAACUAUAUUUUGAAGGUAAAGAAUACAGCUAGUUAAAAUUCUGACCACUGAUUGUAAGUAUAAUUAAGAAACGUUUUUUUAAGCAGUGGGGAACCUGGGUAAAA